GGGUAAUUAAGAGCGAGCUGCCCCAGUGAUAAAAAUUUAAACGGCCGCGGUACUCUGACCGUGCGAAGGUAGCAUAAUCAUUUGCCCUAUAAUUGAGGGCUCGUAUGAAUGGUUUGACAAGAGCAUAACUGUCUCCUUAAAAUUUUAUAGAAUUUGGUUUUUAGGUGAAGAAACCUAAAUACAAUUGAAAGACAAGAAGACCCUAUCGAGCUUUAGAAUAAUUAAUUAAAAAAUAUGAUUAAAAUAAUUAAUUUUAAUUAAAAACUUUGGUUGGGGCGACUGAGGAACAUAUAAAGCUUCCUUAAUUAAAAUAUGCUAAUAUGCAAUGAUCCAAAAAAUUUGAUUAAAAAAAUUAGUUACCGUAGGGAUAACAGCAUAAUCUUUUUUGAGAGCUCUUAUCGAAAAAAAGGUUUGUGACCUCGAUGUUGGACUAGGAUAUCCUAAAAGAUGCAGAAGUCUUUGAUGGUUGGUCUGUUCGACCAUUAAAAUCCUACAUGAUCUGAGUUCAGACCGGAGGGAAAAAAAUGUAAG
rnacentral:rRNA from 1 species